rnacentral:rRNA from 1 species
AUAAUGGGUCAGCGACUUAUAUUCUGUAGCAAGGUUAACCGAAUAGGGGAGCCGAAGGGAAACCGAGUCUUAACUGGGCGUUAAGUUGCAGGGUAUAGACCCGAAACCCGGUGAUCUAGCCAUGGGCAGGUUGAAGGUUGGGUAACACUAACUGGAGGACCGAACCGACUAAUGUUGAAAAAUUAGCGGAUGACUUGUGGCUGGGGGUGAAAGGCCAAUCAAACCGGGAGAUAGCUGGUUCUCCCCGAAAGCUAUUUAGGUAGCGCCUCGUGAAUUCAUCUCCGGGGGUAGAGCACUGUUUCGGCAAGGGGGUCAUCCCGACUUACCAACCCGAUGCAAACUGCGAAUACCGGAGAAUGUUAUCACGGGAGACACACGGCGGGUGCUAACGUCCGUCGUGAAGAGGGAAACAACCCAGACCGCCAGCUAAGGUCCCAAAGUCAUGGUUAAGUGGGAAA